GCAGUCGAACGAAGGCUUCGGCCUUAGUGGCGCACGGGUGAGUAACGCGUGGGAACGUGCCUUUUGGUUCGGGAUAACUCCGGGAAACUGGAGCUAAUACCGGAUGAGCCCUCCGGGGGAAAGAUUUAUCGCCGAAAGAGCGGCCCGCGUCUGAUUAGCUAGUUGGUGGGGUAAUGGCCCACCAAGGCGACGAUCAGUAGCUGGUCUGAGAGGAUGAUCAGCCACACUGGGACUGAGACACGGCCCAGACUCCUACGGGAGGCAGCAGUGGGGAAUAUUGGACAAUGGGGGCAACCCUGAUCCAGCCAUGCCGCGUGAGUGAUGAAGGCCUUAGGGUUGUAAAGCUCUUUCGCACGCGACGAUGAUGACGGUAGCGUGAGAAGAAGCCCCGGCUAACUUCGUGCCAGCAGCCGCGGUAAUACGAAGGGGGCUAGCGUUGUUCGGAAUUACUGGGCGUAAAGGGCGCGUAGGCGGCGCAUCAAGUCAGGCGUGAAAGCCCCGGGCUUAACCUGGGAAUUGCGCUUGAGACUGUUGUGCUUGAGUUCCGGAGAGGUGGGUGGAAUUCCCAGUGUAGAGGUGAAAUUCGUAGAUAUUGGGAAGAACACCGGUGGCGAAGGCGGCCCACUGGACGGACACUGACGCUGAGGCGCGAAAGCGUGGGGAGCAAACAGGAU
rnacentral:rRNA from 1 species